rnacentral:tRNA from 1 species
AGCUAGCUCAGUCCGUAGAGCAUGAGACUCUUAAUCUCAGGGUCGUGGGUUCGUGCCCCACGUU